ACAUAUAGUGUUUGAUUGUGGCUCCUGCUCCAAGAGAAUCCAGCAUAAUGCACCUCUAAACCAAAAAGCUGCACAGUGUUCUCAUCUGACCACUGGCGGCAGAAGCGGUGUCCCCUGUCAAACUGGCAUGAGGGCUCAUCUAGGCAGCGCUGAGAGAGGAAACAGAUGGAGGCAGCAGCCCGUCAGCUUGGAGCUCAACUCCUUCCCAGAAUUAAACUGCUCCGAUUUUUUUUCGAAGGUCUAGCAACACUAACGAGUCAAGACUCAAGAUGAACAAGACCUUACCACAUUGUGCCAAACAUU